UACGUAGGGUGCGAGCGUUAAUCGGAAUUACUGGGCGUAAAGCGUGCGCAGGCGGCUUUGUAAGACAGGCGUGAAAUCCCCGGGCUCAACCUGGGAAUUGCGCUUGUGACUGCAAAGCUGGAGUGCGGCAGAGGGGGAUGGAAUUCCGCGUGUAGCAGUGAAAUGCGUAGAUAUGCGGAGGAACACCGAUGGCGAAGGCAAUCCCCUGGGCCUGUACUGACGCUCAUGCACGAAAGCGUGGGGAGCAAACAGG
rnacentral:rRNA from 1 species